AGCUUGCUUCUCUUGAGAGCGGCGGACGGGUGAGUAAUGCCUAGGAAUCUGCCUGGUAGUGGGGGAUAACGUUCGGAAACGGACGCUAAUACCGCAUACGUCCUACGGGAGAAAGCAGGGGACCUUCGGGCCUUGCGCUAUCAGAUGAGCCUAGGUCGGAUUAGCUAGUUGGUGGGGUAAUGGCUCACCAAGGCGACGAUCCGUAACUGGUCUGAGAGGAUGAUCAGUCACACUGGAACUGAGACACGGUCCAGACUCCUACGGGAGGCAGCAGUGGGGAAUAUUGGACAAUGGGCGAAAGCCUGAUCCAGCCAUGCCGCGUGUGUGAAGAAGGUCUUCGGAUUGUAAAGCACUUUAAGUUGGGAGGAAGGGCAGUAAAUUAAUACUUUGCUGUUUUGACGUUACCGACAGAAUAAGCACCGGCUAACUCUGUGCCAGCAGCCGCGGUAAUACAGAGGGUGCAAGCGUUAAUCGGAAUUACUGGGCGUAAAGCGCGCGUAGGUGGUUCGUUAAGUUGGAUGUGAAAUCCCCGGGCUCAACCCGGGAACUGCAUUCAAAACUGACGAGCUAGAGUAUGGUAGAGGG
rnacentral:rRNA from 1 species